rnacentral:tRNA from 1 species
UGGUGGUUCAAUGGUAGAACGCUCGCCUUCCAUGCAGGAGACCCGGGUUCAAUUCCCGGCCA